rnacentral:rRNA from 1 species
UCCUGGCUCAGAUUGAACGCUGGCGGCAUGCUUUACACAUGCAAGUCGAACGGUAACAGGGAGCUUGCUCCGCUGACGAGUGGCGAACGGGUGAGUAAUAUAUCGGAACGUGCCCAAGAGUGGGGGAUAACGUAGCGAAAGUUACGCUAAUACCGCAUACGAUCUAUGGAUGAAAUGGGGGAUCGCAAGACCUCAUGCUCCUGGAGCGGCCGAUAUCUGAUUAGCUAGUUGGUGAGGUAAAGGCUCACCAAGGCGACGAUCAGUAGCUGGUCUGAGAGGACGACCAGCCACACUGGAACUGAGACACGGUCCAGACUCCUACGGGAGGCAGCAGUGGGGAAUUUUGGACAAUGGGGGCAACCCUGAUCCAGCAAUGCCGCGUGAGUGAAGAAGGCCUUCGGGUUGUAAAGCUCUUUUGUCAGGGAAGAAAAGGGUACGGCUAAUAUCCGUACCUCAUGACGGUACCUGAAGAAUAAGCACCGGCUAACUACGUG